GUGGGGAAUAUUGGGCAAUGGGCGAAAGCCUGACCCAACAACGCCGCGUGAGGGAAGAAGGCCUUCGGGUUGUAAACCUCUGUCCUUGGUGACGAAAAAAAUGACGGUAGCCAAGGAGGAAGCCCCGGCUAACUACGUGCCAGCAGCCGCGGUAAUACGUAGGGGGCGAGCGUUGUCCGGAAUUACUGGGCGUAAAGGGUGCGUAGGUGGCCUUUUAAGUUGGAUGUGAAAUCCCCGGGCUUAACUUGGGUGGUGCAUCUAAUACUGGAGGGCUAGAGUGCAGGAGAGGGAAGCGGAAUUCCUAGUGUAGCGGUGAAAUGCGUAGAUAUUAGGAGGAACACCAGUGGCGAAGGCGGCUUUCUGGACUGUAACUGACACUGAGGCACGAAAGCGUGGGGAGCAAACAGGAUUAGAAACCCCGGUAGUCC
rnacentral:rRNA from 1 species